rnacentral:other from 1 species
UUUCCUGAGAUGUGCGUCAGCGGGUUACGUCCCUGAGCCGAUACUAAAAUCUUUAUGAAUUGGUUCUCUAUUGUUGGUGUGUAUGCUUAACUUGGCUUCGGCCCUGAUGUAAGAAACCUGAAAACGAUUAUAACCGAUUCCCUUGAACCGUCGGGUUCAAGGACCGACCACCCACAGCGGCAUCUCGGGUC